AGCGUUUAAAUUUACCAAUGCUAUUCUUUACUAAUAUCAAGCUACUUAUUUCAUCAUAGGUCCGGCCGGAUUACUAGAUGUAGCUAGGAGUUGUUCUUUAGUUCAUUUAGUUUCUAUAUUGUCUGUGAUUCGCAUUGACUGGCCGGUCACUGGAUUCAUGCGGAUUCAUUCAAUUCAAGAUGGCAGAAAAAACAAGAAUAACUUUUAAAAGACUUCUGUUUGUUAUUAGAUUCCUUUUUGAAUAGUUUGUGUUCCUUAUAAAAGUAUUUUACUUCAAACUUCCUGAGUGUCUUAUUUUCAGCAUCUUCUAUAGUACCAAGCUAACAUUUCAGAAUUGAGAUGAGUAAGUCUACGCCCACCGUCAUAUAAUAUUACGCAAAAACACAUAAUCAAAAC